GGCGCCGGGAACGGGGAAGGGGCGGAGCCGCCGCUCGCCCCCGGCCCUGUGCGGUACCCUGUGCGGUACCCCCGUUCCCCAGGCCCGUUCCCCGGUGGCCUCCCAAAGGGCGGGGUUGUGCCACAGCUGCAGCACCUUCCGUGCUCGCUGUCUAAUGAUGCUCGAUUAAACACCUGCGCGGGCAGCUCUGAAAUCCUGCGGAUGGACGUUAACGGGGGAGACCCCAGCAGGGGCUGCGGCUCCUCCCGAGGGGCAGCUCCGACCUCUGCUCUGGACAAACGGCUCAUCCUCAGCUGCCCUUCAUCCACUGAUCUUAAAACUAAAAACUGACACUCCACCUCGGUCUGCCUUACAUGUCUGUGUGCCCCUGGACAUUCUUCAUUAUAGGUAUACAAAUGCACCACAGAAAGAAGCCUCUGGGACACCAGCAUGUAGAUUGGAUGAAAAUCUGCAGAAGAACAUACUGUACUUCAAAAAAAAAAAUUAAACCCCAAAACAGAGAACGUUUUGAGUUAAUUGUUUCUAAGUAUUUUCAGAGAUUCCUUAAUAUUUAAAGCAAUGGAAAGUUUCUCAUCAUGUCAUUCCCAACUUGAGAAGCAAAGAGCCUGAAACCAUGGGCAAGAUUGCCCAGAAACAUUUAACAUUGACCUUGCUCUGCCCUUGUGUGAAAGUUGGCAGCCAUUUAUUGAUUUCUACAGGACUAAAUUUAGUCUGAUGUUGAGACUUUUAGAACAAAAAGAUCUCAUGUUGCCGUGGUUUAACCCCAACCAGCAGCCAAGCCCCAGCAGCCACUCGCUCACUCCCCCACCAGUGGGACUGGGGAGGGAAUCAGAAGGGUAAAAGUGAGACGACUCAUGUGUUGAGAUAAAGACAGGUCAGUAGGUGAAGCAGAAGCCACACACAUAAGCAAAGCAAAGGAAUUCAUUCCCUGCUUCCCAUGGGCAGCAGGUGUUCAGCCAUCCCCAGGACAGCAGGGCCCCAUCCCAUGUAACAGUUAUUUGAGAAGACAAAGCUCCAAACGUCCCCCCACCUUAUUUACUGAGCAUGACAUCAUACAGUAUGGAGUACCCCUUGGAUCAGUUGGGGUCACCUGUCCUGGCUGUGUCCCCUCCCACUGUCCCACACAGCCCCAGCCCCCUCCCCAGCGUGGCCGUACGAGGGGCAGGAAAGGCCUUGGCUCUGGGUCAACGUAAAUCAAUGAAAAACAUGUUACAGAGCAGCAUAGAACCUUCCAUGAAAACAUCAUGAGAGUUAGUGGCUGAAGGAGCCAGAAAUAAUAUUUAAACUUUCUCCUGGAGUGCUUUGAGAAAGACACGAUGAGUAAAAUGACUCUGGACAUUUCAUAGUAAACCAA